GCAGCCUAUCUCUCAGAAGAAAAGAGAGAGCCUCGCAGCACAGGAGCUGGCUUCACUCGAGUGUGCAGUUUAGAAGUCAAAACAAAACAAAACAAAACAAGCAAACCAAAAGAUUUUUUCCAAGUGCCACCGUUUUGGAGGAGGCUGAAGAAAAAGAACCCCAAACUGGCUAAAUGCUGAAGGAUGCAGGCAGACAGGGGCACAGAGCGAACCCAAACGCAGUUUGAGCGUGGGCUCUAAAGUGCAAUGUAAGUCUCUCUUAAAUUGUCUUGUUUUGUUUUGUUUUUAAAUCAUAGUAUCUGUUUUUUUUUUUUCCAUUUUGAAGCCAGGCUGGGCCAAAAGGUGCAGUUAGUGACAAAAAUCAGCAUGGAGCAGAACGUGUAAUCACUGAUCUGGGGCUGAAAAUGAUCCUGAAAUGCAACAGAAGUCAGAAAUGCAACAGAAUAUCAGGCGUAUUAUGGAAGAUGCACUAUAAAUAAGAGCAUAUCUAAUUAUUUCAAGAGAAAGAUGCCGGACAGAAUCUUUAAUCAACUUUCUUAACAGGGAAGCAAGAGCUCUGCUGCUUUGUAUGGCAAGCUAUUUUAAUACUGCUGUGUUCAAAAUUGUGUGAUUACAGUUACCAAUGGCAAUAAGAUGUAGCUCCAGAGGGGAGUCCUAGUGGCUGCAAAAGUUUUUUCUCUCUUAUUUCUACAAUAUUUUUGCUCUCUCAAGCCUCAAGUCCACGGUCUCUAUCAUCUAGUUUGGCUUUGCUUUUUACCUGGGUUUUCAGUGCCAACUCUGGACUUCCUAUGGAACAGAAAACAAAACAUUUCGGCAUUUGGAGUAAUUCUGGUAUGUUUUUCUACAUCGUGCUAAUGGUAAAAAUGCAGUUGACAAAGGAUUGGGCUCCACCAACUUCUGCCACAGACAGUUGAGGAAUGCAAAGCCUGAUGGUGACAAAGGGUGACCAUUUCCUAUUUUUCACUGUUUAUCUCACCGAUUUCAGACUUAGCAAUGGAUACCCUUUGUGAUGAGGAAAGCUCUGUGAACCCAACUGCAAACUCCUUAAUGCAAAUAAAUCAUGAGAGGAGACUCUACAGAAACGUUUACGGACCAGGAGAGACUAAUGUGUCACAUUUCUGUAACUUGACUGCAGACUCCGAAAACCUGACCAAUCUUUCAUGUGAAAGUCCUCCGUGCUACUCUUCCCUCUUUCAGCUCUCAGAGAAAAACUGGCCAGCUCUGCUGACAGUGAUAGUGAUUGUUUUAACCAUUGCUGGGAAUAUUCUUGUCAUCAUGGCUGUGUCACUGGAGAAAAAGCUGCAGAAUGCCACUAACUAUUUUCUCAUGUCACUUGCAAUAGCUGAUAUGCUGCUGGGUUUCCUUGUCAUGCCCGUGUCAAUGUUAACCAUACUGUACGAAUACACGUGGCCUCUGCCUAAGGAGCUGUGUGCCAUUUGGAUCUACUUGGACGUGCUUUUCUCCACUGCCUCCAUCAUGCACCUCUGUGCCAUCUCAUUGGAUCGUUACAUUGCCAUUCGAAAUCCCAUCUACCACAGCAGGUUUAACUCAAGAACAAAGGCUUUUGCAAAAAUAAUCGCUGUUUGGACCAUAUCAGUUGGUAUCUCCAUGCCUAUCCCUGUCUUUGGACUACAAGAUGACUCCAAAGUGUUUAAGAAAGGCCACUGCCUUCUUGCAGAUGAGAAUUUUGUGCUAGUAGGCUCCUUUGCGGCCUUCUUCAUCCCUCUAACCAUCAUGGUGGUCACUUAUUUUUUAACUAUCAAGUCACUGCAGAAAGAAGCCAUGCUGUGCGUGAAUGACGUUGGCCCAAAGACCAAGUUUGCUUCUUUUAGUUUCCUCCCUCAGAGCUCCCUUUCUUCAGAGAAACUCUUCCAGCGCUCUUUGAACAGGGACAUGGGGACCUCUGGGAGGAGAACCAUGCAAUCCAUCAGCAAUGAGCAGAAGGCUUCCAAGGUCCUUGGCAUUGUCUUUUUUCUGUUUGUUGUGAUGUGGUGCCCGUUUUUCAUCACCAAUGUGAUGGCUGUAAUCUGUAAGGAGUCGUGCAGUGAAGAAGUCAUUGAUGGGCUACUUAACAUAUUUGUUUGGAUUGGGUACCUUUCUUCAGCCGUCAACCCACUCGUGUACACGUUGUUCAAUAAGACCUACCGCUCAGCUUUCUCUCGUUACAUUCAGUGUCGCUACAAGGAGGAGAAGAAACCUUUCCAGCUGAUUUUGGUGAAUACUAUCCCAGCGCUUGCGUAUAAUUCUAGCCAGCUCCACCUGGCUCAAAUGAAGAGUUUGAAAAAAGAGGCAAAAUUGAUGCCCAAGGAUUAUUCGAUGGUCAAGAUCGGAAUACGCCACAUGGAUGGUACCUCAAAGGGAAGCAUCAGUCCAGGGAACGAAAAGGUCAGCGGCGUGUGACUCUACCAGCUGUUGGCAGCUGCCAUGACAACCCCAAGCAUACACUGAGAAUUUCAUCUCAUGGUGAGAUGCUCUGAGAGUGCAAGAAAAUCAGCCAUGUCUGAGAGACCCUCCAGUAACAUCACAUACGCCUCAUGUUAUCCUGUUGAUGAAAAGCAGGGUGGAAUGGGAUGAUGACAGAGUCAAGUCUGAAUUUGUAGCACCCACCGUGCCAGUUCUGCAGGAGGCUGUUAAUCAGGAGAUGGCAAUGAUAAGUCAUGAUACUGCUGCCAGAUCUCAAAGUUCAGCCAUUUUCAACCAGAAUUUGUUGACAGGCUUGGGACGAACACAACUGUUUGAUAUGACCAGCUUCAGAGCAACAACUCCAUCUUGUAAAAAAAAAGUGUUUUCAUUAUGCAUCAGACCAGAAUGGAAAUUGUGAAAAUUUCCAGGAAAAA